rnacentral:rRNA from 1 species
GAUGAACGCUGGCGGCGUGCCUAAUACAUGCAAGUCGAGCGAACGGACGAGAAGCUUGCUUCUCUGAUGUUAGCGGCGGACGGGUGAGUAACACGUGGAUAACCUACCUAUAAGACUGGGAUAACUUCGGGAAACCGUAGCUAAUACCGGAUAAUAUUUUGAACCGCAUGGUUCAAAAGUGAAAGACGGUCUUGCUGUCACUUAUAGAUGGAUCCGCGCUGCAUUAGCUAGUUGGUAAGGUAACGGCUUACCAAGGCAACGAUGCAUAGCCGACCUGAGAGGGAGAUCGGCCACACUGGAACUGAGAAACGGUCCACACUCCUAGGGGGAGCAGCAGUAGGGAAUCUUCCGCAAGGGGCGAGAGCCUGACGGAGCAACGCCGCGUGAGGGAUGAAGGUGUUCGGAUCGGAAAGCUCUGUUAUUAGGGAAGAAGAUAUGUGUAAGUAACUGUGCACAUCUUGACGGUACCUAAUCAGAAAGCCACGGCUAACUACGUG